GACGAACGCUGGCGGCGUGCUUAACACAUGCAAGUCGACAUGAGUGGCGAACGGGUGAGUAAUACGUGGGUAACCUGCCCUCCUUUUUUGGAUAAGCCUUGGAAACGGGGUCUAAUAACGAAUUAAGGGGGAUGGGCUCGCUGCCUGUCGGUGUGUUGGUGGGGUAAUGGCCUACCACGGCGGUGACGGGUAGCCGGGCUGAGAGGGGGAACUGGCACAGUGGGACGGAGAUGCGGCCCAGAGUGCUACGGGGGGCAGCAGUGGGGGAUAUGGCACAAUGGGCGAAAGACUCAUGCAGCGACGCUGCGGGGGGGCUGAAGGCUUUAGGGUUGUAAACGUCUGGCGCUAGCGAACCGGUAGGUGGAGAAGAAGCGCCGGCUAACUCCGUGCCAGCAGCCGCGGUAAUAC
rnacentral:rRNA from 1 species